GGUUCAUUCAAAUUUCUGCCCUAUCAACUUUCGACGGCUGGUCUUGGCCAGCCGUGGUGACAACGGGUAACGGAGGGUUAGGGCUCGACCCCGGAGAAGGAGCCUGAGAAACGGUACUACAUCCAAGGAAGGCAGCAGGCGCGCAAAUUACCCAAUCCCGACCGGGGAGGUAGUGACAAUAAAUACUGAUACAGGGCUCUUUCGGGUCUUGUAAUUGGAAUGAGUACAAUUUAAAUCCCUUAACGAGGAGCAAUUGGAGGGCAAGUCUGGUGCCAGCAGCCGCGGUAAUUCCAGCUCCAAUAGCGUAUAUUAAAGUUGUUGAGGUUAAAAAGCUCGUAGUUG
rnacentral:rRNA from 1 species